rnacentral:rRNA from 1 species
UCAACGGGGCUAAAAUCAUAACCGAAGCUUGGGAUAUACUAAUGUAUAUGGUAGGGGAGCGUUGUGUAAGGGGUGAAGUCAUAGCGGAAGCGGUGGUGGACUUUACACAAGUGAGAAUGCCGGAAUGAGUAGCGCGAAUUAUGUGAGAAUCAUAAUGGCCGAAAGUCUAAGGUUUUUGGAGGAAGGUUCGUCCGCUCCAAGUUAGUCGGGAGCUAAGGUCAGGCCGAAAGGCGUAGCCGAUGCACAUACGGUAGACAUUCCGUAACCAUCGAAGUAUUUAAGCAAAGGGACACUUUGGGAAGGUACAAGCCAGGCGUUGGUAGCCCUGGUCGUAAGGGACUGAAGUUUAGUAAGGAAGUGUACUGGAACAGAGGCGAGAAAAGCUUUGUGUAUAUACAAGAUGCCCGUACCGCAAACCGACACAGGUAGAUGGGAAGAGAAUUCUAAGGCCAACGGGAGAAGGGUUGUUAAGGAACUCGGCAAGUUGACCCCGUAACUUCGGAAGAAGGGGUGCUCCAGAAAUGGAGCCGCAGAGAAUAGGUCCAGGCGACUGUUUAGCAAAAACACAGCUCUAUGCUAAAUCGAAAGAUGAUGUAUAUGGGGUGACACCUGCCCGGUGCUGGAAGGUUAAGAGGAGAUGUGCAAGCAUUGAAUUGAAGCCCCAGUAAACGGCGGCCGUAACUAUAACGGUCCUAAGGUAGCGAAAUUCCUUGUCAGGUAAGUUCUGACCCGCACGAAUGGUGUAACGAUCUGGGCACUGUCUCAACAACCCGCCCGGCGAAAUUGUAGUACCGGUGAAGAUGCCGGUUACCCGCGACAAGACGGAAAGACCCCAUGGAGCUUUACUGUAGCUUAAUAUUGGAUUUUGAUAUUUCAUGUACAGGAUAGGUGGGAGACUGAGAAACAGAAGCGUCAGCUUCUGCGGAGUCGCCUUUGGGAUACCACUCUUGAAGUGUUGAAAUUCUAACCUGCAGCCGUGAAUCCGGCUGGGGGACAUUGUUAGGUGGGCAGUUUGACUGGGGCGGUCGCCUCCAAAAAGGUAACGGAGGCGCUCAAAGGUUCGCUCAGCAUGGACGGAAACCAUGCCCCUGAGUGUAAACGCAGAAGCGAGCCUAACUGCGAGACUGACGGGUCGAGCAGUAACGAAAGUUGGAGUUAGUGAUCCGGUGGUAUG